rnacentral:rRNA from 1 species
GAUGAACGCUAGCUACAGGCUUAACACAUGCAAGUCGAGGGGAAACGACAUCGAAAGCUUGCUUUUGAUGGGCGUCGACCGGCGCACGGGUGAGUAACGCGUAUCCAACCUGCCCACCACUUGGGGAUAACCUUGCGAAAGUAAGACUAAUACCCAAUGACGUCUCUAGAAGACACCUGAAAGAGAUUAAAGAUUUAUCGGUGAUGGAUGGGGAUGCGUCUGAUUAGCUUGUUGGCGGGGUAACGGCCCACCAAGGCGACGAUCAGUAGGGGUUCUGAGAGGAAGGUCCCCCACAUUGGAACUGAGACACGGUCCAAACUCCUACGGGAGGCAGCAGUGAGGAAUAUUGGUCAAUGGGCGAGAGCCUGAACCAGCCAAGUAGCGUGCAGGAUGACGGCCCUAUGGGUUGUAAACUGCUUUUAUAGGGGAAUAAAGUGAGUCUCGUGAGACUUUUUGCAUGUACCUUAUGAAUAGGGACCGGCUAAUUCCGUGCCAGCAGCCGCAGUAA